AAUCAUCUGGAAAGAUGAAUCAAAGAAGGUAAUAAUCCUGUAGUCGAAAAUGUUGUCUCUCUUGAGUGGAUCCUGAGUACGACGGAGCACGUGAAAUUCCGUCGGAAUCUGGGAGGACCAUCUCCUAAGGCUAAAUACUCUCUAGUGACCGAUAGUGAACCAGUACCGUGAGGGAAAGGUGAAAAGCACCCCGGAAGGGGAGUGAAAUAGAACCUGAAACCGUGUGCUUACAAGUAGUCAGAGCCCGUUAAUGGGUGAUGGCGUGCCUUUUGUAGAAUGAACCGGCGAGUUACGAUUUGAUGCAAGGUUAAGCAGUAAAUGUGGAGCCGUAGCGAAAGCGAGUCUGAAUAGGGCGUUUAGUAUUUGGUCGUAGACCCGAAACCAGGUGAUCUACCCUUGGUCAGGUUGAAGUUCAGGUAACACUGAAUGGAGGACCGAACCGACUUACGUUGAAAAGUGAGCGGAUGAACUGAGGGUAGCGGAGAAAUUCCAAUCGAACCUGGAGAUAGCUGGUUCUCUCCGAAAUAGCUUUAGGGCUAGCCUCAAGUGAUGAUUAUUGGAGGUAGAGCACUGUUUGGACGAGGGGCCCCUCUCGGGUUACCGAAUUCAGACAAACUCCGAAUGCCAAUUAAUUUAACUUGGGAGUCAGAACAUGGGUGAUAAGGUCCGUGUUCGAAAGGGAAACAGCCCAGACCACCAGCUAAGGUCCCAAAAUAUAUGUUAAGUGGAAAAGGAUGUGGCGUUGCCCAGACAACUAGGAUGUUGGCUUAGAAGCAGCCAUCAUUUAAAGAGUGCGUAAUAGCUCACUAGUCGAGUGACACUGCGCCGAAAAUGUACCGGGGCUAAACAUAUUACCGAAGCUGUGGAUUGUCCUUUGGACAAUGGUAGGAGAGCGUUCUAAGGGCGUUGAAGCAUGAUCGUAAGGACAUGUGGAGCGCUUAGAAGUGAGAAUGCCGGUGUGAGUAGCGAAAGACGGGUGAGAAUCCCGUCCACCGAUUGACUAAGGUUUCCAGAGGAAGGCUCGUCCGCUCUGGGUUAGUCGGGUCCUAAGCUGAGGCCGACAGGCGUAGGCGAUGGAUAACAGGUUGAUAUUCCUGUACCACCUAUAAUCGUUUUAAUCGAUGGGGGGACGCAGUAGGAUAGGCGAAGCGUGCGAUUGGAUUGCACGUCUAAGCAGUAAGGCUGAGUAUUAGGCAAAUCCGGUACUCGUUAAGGCUGAGCUGUGAUGGGGAGAAGACAUUGUGUCUUCGAGUCGUUGAUUUCACACUGCCGAGAAAAGCCUCUAGAUAGAAAAUAGGUGCCCGUACCGCAAACCGACACAGGUAGUCAAGAUGAGAAUUCUAAGGUGAGCGAGCGAACUCUCGUUAAGGAACUCGGCAAAAUGACCCCGUAACUUCGGGAGAAGGGGUGCUCUUUAGGGUUAACGCCCAGAAGAGCCGCAGUGAAUAGGCCCAAGCGACUGUUUAUCAAAAACACAGGUCUCUGCUAAACCGUAAGGUGAUGUAUAGGGGCUGACGCCUGCCCGGUGCUGGAAGGUUAAGAGGAGUGGUUAGCUUCUGCGAAGCUACGAAUCGAAGCCCCAGUAAACGGCGGCCGUAACUAUAACGGUCCUAAGGUAGCGAAAUUCCUUGUCGGGUAAGUUCCGACCCGCACGAAAGGCGUAACGAUUUGGGCACUGUCUCAACGAGAGACUCGGUGAAAUCAUAGUACCUGUGAAGAUGCAGGUUACCCGCGACAGGACGGAAAGACCCCGUGGAGCUUUACUGUAGCCUGAUAUUGAAAUUCGGCACAGCUUGUACAGGAUAGGUAGGAGCCUUUGAAACGUGAGCGCUAGCUUACGUGGAGGCGCUGGUGGGAUACUACCCUAGCUGUGUUGGCUUUCUAACCCGCACCACUUAUCGUGGUGGGAGACAGUGUCAGGCGGGCAGUUUGACUGGGGCGGUCGCCUCCUAAAAGGUAACGGAGGCGCUCAAAGGUUCCCUCAGAAUGGUUGGAAAUCAUUCAUAGAGUGUAAAGGCAUAAGGGAGCUUGACUGCGAGACCUACAAGUCGAGCAGGGUCGAAAGACGGACUUAGUGAUCCGGUGGUUCCGCAUGGAAGGGCCAUCGCUCAACGGAUAAAAGCUACCCCGGGGAUAACAGGCUUAUCUCCCCCAAGAGUUCACAUCGACGGGGAGGUUUGGCACCUCGAUGUCGGCUCAUCGCAUCCUGGGGCUGUAGUCGGUCCCAAGGGUUGGGCUGUUCGCCCAUUAAAGCGGUACGCGAGCUGGGUUCAGAACGUCGUGAGACAGUUCGGUCCCUAUCCGUCGUGGGCGUAGGAAAUUUGAGAGGAGCUGUCCUUAGUACGAGAGGACCGGGAUGGACAUACCUCUGGUGUACCAGUUGUCGUGCCAACGGCAUAGCUGGGUAGCUAUGUGUGGACGGGAUAAGUGCUGAAAGCAUCUAAGCAUGAAGCCCCCCUCAAGAUGAGAUUUCCCAACUUCGGUUAUAAGAUCCCUCAAAGAUGAUGAGGUUAAUAGGUUCGAGGUGGAAGCAUGGUGACAUGUGGAGCUGACGAAUACUAAUCGAUCGAAGACUUAAUCAA
rnacentral:rRNA from 1 species